rnacentral:rRNA from 1 species
CGGAGGAAAAGAAACCAACAGGGAUUGCCCUAGUAACGGCGAGUGAAGCGGCAACAGCUCAAAUUUGAAAUCUGGCUUUCGGGUCCGAAUUGUAAUUUGCAGAGGAUGCUUUUGGCGAGGUGCCUUCCGAGUUCCCUGGAACGGGACGCCUUAGAGGGUGAGAGCCCCGUACGGUUGGACACUAAGCCUCUGUAAAGCUCCUUCGACGAGUCGAGUAGUUUGGGAAUGCUGCUCUAAAUGGGAGGUAAAUUUCUUCUAAAGCUAAAUACCGGCCAGAGACCGAUAGCGCACAAGUAGAGUGAUCGAAAGAUGAAAAGCACUUUGAAAAGAGGGUUAAAUAGCACGUGAAAUUGUUGAAAGGGAAGCGUUUACGGCCAGACCUUUUCCUAGCGGAUCAUCUGGUGUUCUCACCGGUGCACUUCGCUAGGUUUAGGCCAGCAUCGGCUUCUGUAGAGGGAUAAAAGCAGUGGGAAAGUAGCUCUCUCGGGAGUGUUAUAGCCCUAAGCAUAAUACCUUUACGGGGGCCGAGGACCGCGCUUUUGCAAGGAUGCUGGCGUAAUGGUCGUCAACGACCCGUCUUGAAACACGGACCAAGGAGUCGAACAUUUGUGCGAGUGUUUGGGUGUUAAACCCUCACGCGUAAUGAAAGUGAACGGAGGUGAGAGCCCUUUACGGGGUGCAUCAUCGACCGAUCCUGAUGUCUUCGGAUGGAUUUGAGUAGGAGCAUUAAUGUUCGGACCCGAAAGAUGGUGAACUAUGCGUGGAUAGGGUGAAGCCAGAGGAAACUCUGGUGGAGGCUCGCAGCGGUUCUGACGUGCAAAUCGAUCGUCAAAUCUGCGCAUGGGGGCGAAAGACUUAUCGAACCAUCUA